AUUGUUUUGUGCUUAAGGUAUUAUUCCAGUUCAACGAGAGAGUUCCUGUGUGAUUUAAAAUUUGUGUCUCACAAACAAAAGAGAGUGAGUGCGUUGCCGUUUGUAUCCUGUUACACUGUUUUGAAAAUGCGUGCACAAAUAGAAAUGCUGUGUGUCCCCACAGUGACAGACUUGGAGCUGUUGAAAUGUAGUGACUUUGUUUUAAUGUCACAGAGCAGUCAUUGUUUAUUUAGAGGUAUUACUUUAAACACAGGCCUGUGUAACAUCACCAGAGGCAGAGACAGAAACUGCUCCUGAAUAGGCUUAUGCCACCCUGAACAAACGCAGAGCAGUCUGGGAGGGAUCGUGUAUAUUGUCCGACGAUGUCUGUUCCAGUCUGACUGAGGAAGACUCUUCACUGAGUGCUAAGAACUCAAAAAGGGCCCUAGAGAGAGGAUCUAGUUGGAGUGGCUCUCGUGAAGGAAGCUCCUAGGAUGAGUACCACUUGCAUCUCCAGGAAGAAAACAACAAAUGAUGUAUGACCAAGGAGACACAGGACCAAGACACCCGUGCUAUUGUGUCACAGAUGAGCAAGAGCUAUGAGCUCAGAAACCAUCAGAGAAUUUUGAAAAGCAUGAAGACUUGCAUGUGAACACAUGGGCAUCCUUCCAAGUGUGUUCCCGUCCAGCAGGACAGCAUUCCUGACAUUGUGCUGGACCCACUGUGGAUGCUGCACCUGAGUCCAUGAAGCACCUGAAAUUAGAAACCUGUCUUCUUCCCAGCGAAGGCCAAAGAUCGCCCAAGGAACCUCCCAGGAGAACCAUGCUCAUAUAUGGAGGCACUUCCAGACCUUCAAAGGAAGUUUCCUUAUGGGAGGAAGUUCUCCCAUGUCUAAACCUUGGUGAUGGCUGGACCCUUCUGAGAGGGCCAUCUAAGUCCUGCUUGUACCCCUGAUAGCAGAGAAUCAAAUAAAAAUGACUUAUCAACAA
rnacentral:sRNA from 1 species